CCUACGGGAGGCAGCAGUGGGGAAUAUUGUGCAAUGGGGGAAACCCUGACACAGCGACGCCGCGUGAGUGAAGAAGGCCUUCGGGUCGUAAAGCUCAAUAGUAUGGGAAGAAACUGGCGGUCCCAUACGAAGCCCCGG
rnacentral:rRNA from 1 species